rnacentral:sRNA from 1 species
AAGAAAGCCCAUUUUUGUGUCUGUCAGCUUAGAUGCUCUUGCCCGGACUGCUAAAGAUGCAGCCAUUUACAGUGGACAAAAACUGAAGGGGUGAAAGAAAACCCAAGAUGCCAGACCAGUUUGACCAGGCGGUUGUGCUGAACCAGCUGCGGUACUCAGGGAUGCUGGAGACUGUGAGAAUCCGCAAAGCCGGGUAUAAAGUGCUGAUGAGGAAUCUGGCUCUGCCCGAGGACAUCCGAGGGAAGUGCACGAGCCUGCUGCAGCUCUAUGAUGCCUCCAACAGCGAGUGGCAGCUGGGGAAGACCAAGGUCUUUCUUCGAGAAUCCUUGGAACAGAAACUGGAGAAGCGGAGGGAAGAGGAAGUGACUCACGCGGCCAUGGUGAUUCGGGCCCAUGUCUUGGGCUUCUUGGCACGAAAACAAUACAGAAAGGUCCUUUAUUGUGUGGUGAUAAUACAGAAGAAUUACAGAGCAUUCCUUCUGAGGAGGAGAUUUUUGCACCUGAAAAAGGCAGCCGUAGUUUUCCAGAAGCAACUCAGAGGUCAGAUUGCUCGUAGAGUUUACAGACAAUUGCUG